rnacentral:rRNA from 1 species
AUUGAACGCUGGCGGCAUGCCCUACACAUGCAAGUCGAACGGUAACAGGUCUUCGGAUGCUGACGAGUGGCGAACGGGUGAGUAAUACAUCGGAACGUGCCUAGUAGUGGGGGAUAACUACUCGAAAGAGUGGCUAAUACCGCAUGAGAUCUACGGAUGAAAGCAGGGGAUCGCAAGACCUUGUGCUACUAGAGCGGCCGAUGGCAGAUUAGGGAGUUGGUGGGAUAAAAGCUUACCAAGCCGACGAUCUGUAGCUGGUCUGAGAGGACGAUCAGCCACACUGGGACUGAGACACGGCCCAGACUCCUACGGGAGGCAGCAGUGGGGAAUUUUGGACAAUGGGCGCAAGCCUGAUCCAGCAAUGCCGCGUGCAGGAUGAAGGCCUUCGGGUUGUAAACUGCUUUUGUACGGAACGAAAAGCCCCGGGUUAAUACCCUGGGGUCAUGACGGUACCGUAAGAAUAAGCACCGGCUAACUACGUGCCAGCCGCCGCAGUAA